rnacentral:rRNA from 1 species
UACGGAGGGUGCAAGCGUUAUCCGGAUUCACUGGGUUUAAAGGGUGCGUAGGCGGCCAGGUAAGUCAGGAGUGAAAGUUUGCGGCUCAACCGUAAAAUUGCUUUUGAUACUGCCAGGCUAGAAUUAGGAUGAGGUCAGCGGAAUGUGGCAUGUAGCGGUGAAAUGCAUAGAUAUGCCAUAGAACACCAAUUGCGAAGGCAGCUGGCUAGACCUGGAUUGACGCUGAGGCACGAAAGCGUGGGGAGCGAACAGG